rnacentral:rRNA from 1 species
AUUGAACGCUGGCGGCAUGCCUUACACAUGCAAGUCGAACGGUAACGGGCCUUCGGGUGCCGACGAGUGGCGAACGGGUGAGUAAUGUAUCGGAACGUACCUUUCAGUGGGGGAUAACGUAGCGAAAGUUACGCUAAUACCGCAUAUUCUGUGAGCAGGAAAGCAGGGGAUCGCAAGACCUUGCGCUGAUUGAGCGGCCGAUAUCAGAUUAGCUAGUUGGUGAGGUAAAGGCUCACCAAGGCGACGAUCUGUAGCGGGUCUGAGAGGAUGAUCCGCCACACUGGAACUGAGACACGGUCCAGACUCCUACGGGAGGCAGCAGUGGGGAAUUCUGGACAAUGGGGGCAACCCUGAUCCAGCCAUGUCGCGUGAGUGAAGAAGGCCUUCGGGUUGUAAAGCUCUUUCGGCCGGGAAGAAAUCGUAUCAGCUAAUACCUGGUGCGGAUGACGGUACCGGCAUAAGAAGCACCGGCUAACUACGUGCCAGCAGCCGCUGUAACAC